rnacentral:rRNA from 1 species
AUUGAACGCUGGCGGCAUGCCUUACACAUGCAAGUCGAACGGUAACAGGUCUUCGGAUGCUGACGAGUGGCGAACGGGUGAGUAAUACAUCGGAACGUGCCCGAUCGUGGGGGAUAACGAGGCGAAAGCUUUGCUAAUACCGCAUACGAUCUACGGAUGAAAGCGGGGGAUCUUCGGACCUCGCGCGGACGGAGCGGCCGAUGGCAGAUUAGGUAGUUGGUGGGAUAAAAGCUUACCAAGCCGACGAUCUGUAGCUGGUCUGAGAGGAUGAUCAGCCACACUGGGGCUGGGGCACGGCCCAGAGUCCUGCGGGAGGCAGCAGUGGGGAGUGGUGGGCGAUGGGCGGAGGGGUGGUGGAGCGGUGCCGCGUGGGGGGUGAAGGCCUUGGGGUUGUGGGGUGGUUGUGUGGGGGGGGAGGGGCCUCUUGCUGAUAGAGGGGGGUCAUGACGGUACCGUAAGAAUAAGCACCGGCUAACUACGUG